UUAGGAAUGAUUUAGUCAUCGCAAGAUCGGUGGUUCCCAGUCGCAAGAUCAGUUGUUUUUUCCUGCUCUCCUAAAC
rnacentral:tRNA from 1 species